GUCUGUGGCUGUGCCACCUUGAACAAGCCUGAUGUCUGAUCUUGGAGGCUGAGCGGAGUCAGGCCUGGUUAGUACUUGGAUGGGAGACCACCUAAGAAGACCAGGUGCUGUAGGCA
rnacentral:rRNA from 1 species